rnacentral:misc_RNA from 1 species
GAAAUGGGUAAAGGGUAGAGGACCUAGCCCAAACGUAGCAUUAUAGUGCAAAUUGGCAUAACUUUUUAACCUUUUUUUAGCGUACUAAAGCUACUGUGGUGGAGUUUAUUGCGUCAACUUUUGUCUCAACGUAUCAAGAUUCUCACGUAGACGCCUACUCAAACAUUCCUUCUCCGCUUCUUCAGAAACUGCCCACCUGAAAAUUCAUUCCACGAAGGGCAGUUUCGGCAGUGGAUAAGGAAUAUAA